CAGGCACAUCGGCUUGUCCUAAUGGUCGGUUCUUUUGCCAGAAUAAUGGAUACCUUGCCAUACUUCUACCAUCUUCUAGAGUCAAUGAUGGCAUUUGUGGUAAGCAAAUAUAUUUGACAUUCCUGCAGAAAGUUUAAUAUUAUAUGUUAAUUUAAGCAGCUUACUCCAGUACUUAUCUGAAACAGGCCAGAUUUGUGGUACAGUACAUCUUUAAAAAUAAGACUGUUCUACAGCUGCACUUCGGUUGAUAGGGAUGCCAGGAGAAGAAUACAAGGAGAAGUUGUAUUUUUUCAGAACUUGGACUUGGACAGAGUUUGGGAAAAAAACAAUAAAUGUUUCUCCGAAGAAUUGGUAAACACCAAUUUAUGUAACAGUGUAGUGAUGAAAAGUGAAAGAAAAAAUACUUUUCAGGGUCGUGUUCAAUUAUAAUCCAAGAUCAUUCAAGUACAAAUGAACCAAUAUAAAAAAGCGAUUUCCGAUACCGAUUGUUCAAGACUAUAGCCGACACAUACCCAACAUCGGUCGAUUAAUUGGCAUAUCCGAUGACUGAUUUGCCUAAUGUUCACGUUUUUUCGAAUUGUCGUUUUACUGUUUUACUUGACACAACUCGCGAUAAGAGGAUGCCAUCACGCCAAAUCUCUAUUUUGAGCACAACAAAAGUACAGGCUGUACAGCACAAACAGAAAAUAGACAAGUAGUGAACAGUAGUUUUUAUAAUACAGUAUUACGCAUGUCUGAUCAAGAUUGAAAUUUUUAUUGUUCACAGAAAAUAUUUUUAAACCACAUACUGACAGAUACUCCCGAUAUAUUAUAAUGGGAAAUCAUGCUACUGGUAUUAAACUAAAUGCGCAUUUGAACAACGACUUAUUGGAAAAGUCUGUAAUGGAAUUUUGCAUAAUAUUGAACUUUUUCCAUGGUAUAUGUAUAACAACAGAAAACAGAAAUAUAACAGAAAACAUAAUUUAGAAAGUUCGGAAACUAAAAACUGUUACAAUAUUAUUUUAUAGCCACGGACGUUUAUUUCAAAGUUCACAUACUCGAUACUUAAGUGUACAGUAGACUUGCAUUUAUGUUUUUGAACAUUAUAAAGAUGUGUGCUUUUUACACAAUCUUCACAGAUUGCUGUGACGGCUCUGAUGAGUAUGGAAAGCGAGGACUUUGUCAGAAUAAUUGUCUGUAAGUAUUUAUUUAAACACAUUUUCUUUUAAAAUAAUCGCUACAGGAAACGGCAUCAAGACAACAUUUUUAGUUCCGGG